GACGAACGCUGGCGGCGUGCUUAACACAUGCAAGUCGAACGGAAAGGCCCUGCUUUUGUGGGGUGCUCGAGUGGCGAACGGGUGAGUAACGCGUGGGGAACCUGCCCCAUUCCGGGGGGUACCAGUUGGAAACGACUGUUAAUACCGCAUAAGCGCACGGUACCGCAUGGUAGUGUGUGAAAAACUCCGGUGGAAUGGGAUGGCCCCGCGUCUGAUUAGGCAGGUUGGCGGGGUAACGGCGCACCAAACCGACGAUCAGUAGCCGACCUGAGAGGGUGACCGGCCACAUUGGGACUGAGACACGGCCCAA
rnacentral:rRNA from 1 species